rnacentral:rRNA from 1 species
UACAGAGGGGGCAAGCGUUAUUCGGAAUUAUUGGGCGUAAAGGGCGCGUAGGCGGCUUGGCAAGUGGAAGGUGAAAUCCCUCGGCUUAACCGAGGAACUGCCCUCCAAACUGCUUUGCUUGAGGCCGGGAGAGGCGAGUGGAAUUCCCAGUGUAGCGGUGAAAUGCGUAGAUAUUGGGAGGAACACCAGUGGCGAAGGCGGCUCGCUGGACCGGUUCUGACGCUGAUGCGCGAAAGCGUGGGUAGCAAACAGG